rnacentral:rRNA from 1 species
CGGGUGAGUAACGCGUGAGGAACCUGCCUCAAAGAGGGGGACAACAGUUGGAAACGACUGCUAAUACCGCAUAAGCCCACGGCUCGGCAUCGAGCAGAGGGAAAAGGAGCAAUCCGCUUUGAGAUGGCCUCGCGUCCGAUUAGCUAGUUGGUGAGGUAAUGGCCCACCAAGGCGACGAUCGGUAGCCGGACUGAGAGGUUGAACGGCCACAUUGGGACCGAGACACGGCCCAG